CCUACGGGUGGCAGCAGUAGGGAAUGUUCGACAAUGGGCGAAAGCCUGAACGAGCAAUGCAGCGUGAACGAGGAAGGUCUUCGGAUUGUAAAGUUCUGUUGAAGGGGAAAAAGAGCGGAGAGAGGAAAUGCUUGCUGAUUGAUAUUACCAUUCGAGGAAGUGACGGCUAACUACGUGCCAGCAGCCGCGGUAAUACGUAGGUGGCGAGCGUUAUCCGGAUUGAUUGGGCGUAAAGGGUGCGUAGGCGGCCUGCUAAGUCUGGAGUAAAAGGUAGCGGCUCAACCGUGACUGGCUCUGGAUACUGGCAGGCUAGAGUGCAGGAGAGGUCGGUGGAACUCCAUGUGUAGCGGUGAAAUGCGUAGAUAUAUGGAAGAACACCAGUGGCGAAGGCGGCCGCCUGGCCUGUUACUGACGCUGAGGCACGAAAGCGUGGGGAGCAAAUAGGAUUAGAUACCCCGGUAGUC
rnacentral:rRNA from 1 species